rnacentral:tRNA from 1 species
ACCUAGGUGGUGGAAUUGGUAGACACGCCGGACUUAAAAUCCUGUGAGCCGCAACGCUCGUACGGGUUCAACUCCCGUCCUGGGUACGA